UACGAAGGGGGCUAGCGUUGUUCGGAAUUACUGGGCGUAAAGCGCGCGCAGGCGGUCUUCCAAGUCAGUGGUGAAAGCCCGGAGCUCAACUCCGGAACUGCCAUUGAAACUGUUGGACUUGAGUACGAGAGAGGUGAGUGGAAUUCCCAGUGUAGAGGUGAAAUUCGUAGAUAUUGGGAAGAAUACCGGUGGCGAAGGCGGCUCACUGGCUCGUAACUGACGCUCAGGCGCGACAGCGUGGGGAUCAAACAGG
rnacentral:rRNA from 1 species